AACGAACGCUGGCGGCAGGCUUAACACAUGCAAGUCGAACGGGUGCAGCAAUGCACCAGUGGCAGACGGGUGAGUAACACGUGGGAACCUUCCUAGGGGUACGGAACAACUCAGGGAGACUUGAGCUAAUACCGUAUACGUCCGUGAGGAGAAAGAUUUAUCGCCCUUAGACGGGCCCGCGUCGGAUUAGCUAGUUGGUGGGGUAACGGCCUACCAAGGCGACGAUCCGUAGCUGAUCUUAGAGGAUGAUCAGCCACACUGGGACUGAGACACGGCCCAGACUCCUACGGGAGGCAGCAGUGGGGAAUCUUGGACAAUGGGCGCAAGCCUGAUCCAGCCAUGCCGCGUGAGUGAAGAAGGUCUUCGGAUUGUAAAGCUCUUUUGCCAGGGACGAUAAUGACGGUACCUGGAGAAUAAGCCCCGGCAAACUUCGUGCCAGCCGCCGCAGUAA
rnacentral:rRNA from 1 species